ensembl:lncRNA
GCCGCAACCAAACUGCAUUCCAAACAAUGAUCUGGACCUGAAACAUCCAGAGCCUGAAAGGUGUCACAGUCAUCGUCUGGUGUGCACAACAAUAUCAUCUUUGGACAAGUGCAUUCAGUGUGUGGGACCGGUUUCCUCCCUCAAGUGGCUUGGCUAUAAGUGCAAAGUUUGUUUAGGGGUCUGGCACAAAUCCUGCCUUGCAAAAUUGGCAAAUCAGAAUUGUCACCAGUCAACACAGAAAGAAGAAAUUUCUGAAUAUUCAGGGGAGGAUGGAUUGCCACAUUCAGUUCUGGAUCAAAUAUCAAGCGAUGAUGAUGGCAACCACAGCAUAUCAGAAGAAGAAUAUGUGCCAGAUUCAGAGUCAUAUGAUGAAGAUUCAGAUGAAGACAUCUCAUUAUUGCCAAG